rnacentral:rRNA from 1 species
GAUCAUGGCUCAGGAUGAACGCUGGCGGCGUGCUUAACACAUGCAAGUCGAACGAAGCGCUUGAAUGGAAUUCUUCGGAAGGAAGCUCAAGUGACUGAGUGGCGGACGGGUGAGUAACGCGUGGGUAACCUGCCUCAUACAGGGGGAUAAACAGUUAGAAAUGACUGCUAAUACCGCAUAAGCACACGUGAUCGCAUGAUCGAGUGUGAAAAACUCCGGU